rnacentral:lncRNA from 1 species
UUUGGCUAAACCUUUCAUCUGACUUAAAGCUAGCAGCUGUUUGGGAAAAUUCUGAUAGAAAGAAGUACAGUACACGUAGCAAAAUUCAAGAUGACAACAACAUUUUGACCAAGCUGGCCUGUGUUUUCCUCAUGAUGCUAUAUCCAUCCUUCUCAAUUCUUUCCUUUGUAUGCACGUGGUGCUGGAAUAUGGGACUAUGGUGACUGACAGAGUCAGCAACAAUGACUAAACCAGAAAGCUGCCUCCAUAGAAUAUCAUUUCUUUAUUAGUAAAUUUCACUUGCUACUGUUUUUCUGAAAUUAAUUUUUUUUUCAUGACAUCUUGUGAUUUGAAUUGAGAAUGAUUUUAGUAGACAAAAUUAACCGCAAAACCACAAAAAAUAUAAGUGGAGUAUUGUAGCAAACAGUCCCAUUUCUCAUGUAAGAAUUGUCAAAGGACCGUAAGUCCAAAAUAUGGACAUGGGUUCUGAUAAACUAUGUAGACUAAAUGCAUGCAGUUGUGAAUGAAA